UUGAUCCUGGCUCAGGACGAACGCUGGCGGUAUGCUUAACACAUGCAAGUCGAACGAGAAAAUUCUUAAUGAACCUUCGGGCGAUUUAGGAAUCGGAAAGUGGCGAACGGGUGAGUAACGCGUGGGUAACCUGCCUCAUGGAAAGGAACAGCCCUGGGAAACCGGGAGUAAAGCCUUAUAACAUUACAGAUUCGCAUGGAUCUGCAAUCAAAACUCCGGUGCCAUGAGAUGGACCCGCGUUCCAUUAGCCAGUUGGUGAGGUAACGGCCCACCAAAGCGACGAUAGAUAGCCGGUUCUGAAGCAAGGCCACAUUGGAACUGAGCACGUCCAAACUCCUACGGGAGGCAGCAGUGGGGAAUAUUGCGCAAUGGGGGAAACCCUGACGCAGCAAUACCGCGUGAGUGAAGAAGGUUUUCGGAUCGUAAAGCUCUGUUAUUGGGGAAGAAGAAGUGACGGUACCCAAUGAGGAAGUCCCGGCUAACUACGUGCCAGCAGCCGCGGUAAUACGUAGGGGACAAGCGUUGUCCGGAAUCACUGGGCGUAAAGGGCGCGUAGGCGGUUAUAUAAGUCAGAUGUGAAAGGUACCGGGCUCAACCGGUGACAUGCAUUUGAAACUGUAAAACUUGAGUACUGGAGAGGCAAGUGGAAUUCCUAGUGUAGCGGUGAAAUGCGUAGAUAUUAGGAGGAACACCGGUGGCGAAGGCGGCUUGCUGGACAGAUACUGACGCUGAGGUGCGAAAGCAUGGGGAGCGAACAGGAUUAGAUACCCUGGUAGUCCAUGCCGUAAACGAUGAUAACUAGGUGUUGGCGUAGCCAGUGCCGAAGCAAACGCAUUAAGUUAUCCGCCUGGGGAGUACGACCGCAAGGUUGAAACUCAAAGGAAUUGACGGGGACCCGCACAAGCAGCGGAGCAUGUGGUUUAAUUCGAAGCAACGCGAAGAACUUACCAGGCCUUGACAUCCCCUGACAGGAUUAGAGAUAAUUUUUUUCCUUCGGGAACAGGGAGACAGGUGUGCAUGGUUGUCGUCAGCUCGUGUCGUGAGAUGUUGGGUUAAGUCCCGCACGAGCGCACCCCUGUUAAUAGUUGCCAGCAUUGAGUUGGCACUCUAUUGAACUGCCGUAACAAUACGAGAAGGUGGGGACGACGUUCAAAUCAUCAUGCCCUUAUGGCCGUGGGGCUACACACACGGUGUGCUUCAAUGGUUUGAACAAAGGGAAGCGAAACCGCGAGGCGAAGCCAAUCCCAUAAAACAAAUCCCAGUUCGGAUUGCAGGCUGAAACCCGCCUGUAUGAAGAUGGAGUUGCUAGUAAUCGCGGAUCAGAAUGCCGCGGUGAAUGCGUUCCCGGGUCUUGUACACACCGCCCGUCACACCACGAGAGUUGGCAACACCCG
rnacentral:rRNA from 1 species